rnacentral:rRNA from 1 species
UUGAACGCUGGCGGCAUGCUUUACACAUGCCAGUCGAACGGCAGCGCGGGCUUCGGCCUGGCGGCGAGUGGCGAACGGGUGAGUAAUGCAUCGGAACGAGCCCAGUAGUGGGGGAUAGCCCGGCGAAAGCCGGAUUAAUACCGCAUACGACCUGAGGGUGAAAGCGGGGGACCGAAAGGCCUCGCGCUAUUGGAGCGGCCGAUGUCGGAUUAGCUAGUUGGUGGGGUAAAGGCUUACCAAGGCGACGAUCCGUAGCUGGUCUGAGAGGACGACCAGCCACACUGGGACUGAGACACGGCCCAGACUCCUACGGGAGGCAGCAGUGGGGAAUUUUGGACAAUGGGGGCAACCCUGAUCCAGCCAUGCCGCGUGCGGGAAGAAGGCCUUCGGGUUGUAAACCGCUUUUGUUCGGGAAGAAAUCCUCUGGGCUAAUACCCCGGGGGGAUGACGGUACCGGAAGAAUAAGCACCGGCUAACUACGUG